rnacentral:rRNA from 1 species
AUUGAACGCUGGCGGCAUGCUUUACACAUGCAAGUCGGACGAGUGGCGAACGGGUGAGUAAUAUAUCGGAACGUACCGAGUAAUGGGGGAUAACUACUCGAAAGAUUAGCUAAUACCGCCUACUAUUCGAGCGGCCGAUAUCUGAUUAGCUGGUUGGUGGGGUAACGGCUUACCCAGGCGACGAUCAGUAGCGGGUCUGAGAGGAUGAUCCGCCACACUGGGACUGAGACACGGCCCAGACUCCUACGGGAGGCAGCAGUGGGGAAUAUUGGACAAUGGGCGCAAGCCUGAUCCAGCCAUGCCGCGUGUCUGAAGAAGGCCUUCGGGUUGUAAAGUACUUUUAUCAGGGAAGCGGUACCUGCAGAAUAAGCACCGGCUAACUACGUGCCAGCAGCCGCGGUAAUAC